GAGAAGAACACUUAGAUCUGCUAAAUCUUUAAUCUGAUAUUAACACAUCAGUCUUCUCU
rnacentral:tRNA from 1 species